rnacentral:rRNA from 1 species
GAUGAACGCUGGCGGCGUGCUUAACACAUGCAAGUCGAGCGAGUGAGUUCUUCGGAACGAUCUAGCGGCGGACGGGUGAGUAACACGUGGGCAACCUGCCUCAUAGAGGGGAAUAGCCUCCCGAAAGGGAGAUUAAUACCGCAUAAAAUUAUCGAGUAGCAUCACGUGAUAAUCAAAGGAGUAAUCCGCUAUGAGAUGGGCCUGCGGCGCAUUAGCUAGUUGGUAAGGUAACGGCUCACCAAGGCGACGAUGCGUAGCCGACCUGAGAGGGUGAUCGGCCACAUUGGGACUGAGACACGGCCCAGACUCCUACGGGAGGCAGCAGUGGGGAAUAUUGCACAAUGGGGGAAACCCUGAUGCAGCAACGCCGCGUGAGUGAUGAAGGUCUUCGGAUUGUAAAGCUCUGUCUUUGGGGACGAUAAUGACGGUACCCAAGGAGGAAGCCACGGCUAACUACGUGCCAGCCGCCGCCGUAA